rnacentral:rRNA from 1 species
GGAUAACCAAACGAAAGUUCGGCUAAUACCGCGUAAGCUCCAAGGAGGAAAGUAGGGGACCUAAAUAAGGCCUUACGCUAUUUGAUCGGCCGAUGUCGGAUUAGCUAGUUGGUGGGGUAAUGGCUCACCAAGGCAAUGAUCCGUAGCGGGUCUGAGAGGACGAUCCGCCACACUGGGACUGAGACACGGCCCAG